GCCGCUAUAAUCCAAAAGUUGUACUUUAGAAAUUUAUAUUUAUUAAAUAAUUGUUAAAAAAGACAUGGAUUUAGUUACUGCAGUGUUACACUGAUGUGUAUAUUUAAAACCAUUACUAAUCAUGGGUCUCAUUAGUUAUGUUACGUUAUUAAAGGAGUUUCUUUUUAAAGUUUUAUUGAAGUAUAAUUGACAAAUGAAUACAUUAAUUAAAUGUUCACAAUGUGUAUACCUUAAAUGUAGAAUUUUUACUAAACAGCUUCUUAAUAUUCAAAAUGUUUUUUAAAAUGUACACACUGAUGUUUUCAGUCUAUUUUCACUCAAUAGGUAAUCAAGUCAGUAUUUUGGGGAUAAAGCUGCUCUUGUGGUUUUUUUAAAUUUUUUAAAUUUAUUUUUAUUUAUUUAUUUGACAGGCAGAGUUACAAGACAGAAGACAGUGAGAGAGAGAGAGAGAGAGGGAGAGAGACAGAGAGAAAGGUCUUCCUUCCGUUGGUUCACCCCCCCAAAUGGCUGCUACGGCCGGCGCUGUGCCGAUCCAAAGCCAGGAGCCAGGUGCUUCCUCCUGGUCUCCCAUGCAGGUACAGGGCCCAAGCACUUGGGUUGUUCCCCACUGCCUCCUGGGCCACAGCAGAGAGCUGGACUGGAAGAGGAGCAUCUGGGACAGAAUCCAGCGCCCAUAUGGGAUGCUGGCACCGCAGGUGGAGGAUUAACCAAGUGAGCCACGGUGCCGGCCCUGUCAUUCUGUAUUUAAAUACCAGUCAACAUGUACACAUGAUGCCCAGAGAAUCCUGUAACAGCUGCAACACAAACCAAAGCAAAUACAGGUGAAUACAUUCAUUCUUAGUGGUGCUUUACAUAUUUUGAUUUUUAGAAAAGCAGCUAUGGAACUGGCACUGUGACUUAGCAGGUAAGCUGCCAUCUGCAGUGCCAGCAUCCCAUAUGAGCACUGGUUUGAAUUCUGGCUACUCGGCUACUCCACUUAUGAUCCAGCACCUGCAUGGGAGACUAGAAGGAAGCACCUGGCUCCCGGCUUCCGGUCGGUGCAGCGCCGGCCGUAGCAGCCGUUUGGGGGCUGAACCAACGGAAGGAAGACCUUUCUCUCUGUCUCUCUCUCUCGCUGUCUAACUUUAUCUGUCAAAUAAAUUUUAAAAAAAUAAAUAAAUACAGAGUGAGAAUAACUUGUUUCUGACAAUUUAUAAGUAGACUGUUUCAUUAUAAGUAUGGUUAGUAAUAAGAAUGGCAUAAUUUGAGAGUAUGCUGAUUUCUUAUUGAAAGAGCUAGUGUUCUCAGUUAAAACUUGUAGAUAAGAAUGGUUCUUUGCAAAAAAUAGAGGAAAGGAAAAUCUAGAUCAGCUUUUAGGGCUGAAAUCAGGUGAGACCUUUGACAUUUUAGGCUUAAAUUAAAAAAAAAGAACUUUUUAAAAGAUUUAUUUAUUUGAAAGGCAGAGUGACAGAGUGGGGGAGAGACAGAAAAACACAUGGAGAGAAAGAGAAAGGAGGAGGAGAGAAAUAUUUAUCUACAGGUUUUUCACUUCCCAAAAGGCCACAAUAGCCAGAGCUGGGUUUGGCUGAAACUAGGAAUGAGAAACUCCAUCUGGGUCUUCCACGUGAGUGACCAGGGCACUCAGCCGCCUUCCCUGGCCCAUUAGCAGAAAGCUUGAUCAGAACUGGAGGAGCUGGGACUUGAAUUGGCACUCUGAUAUGGGAUGCGGGCACUCAUGACAGUGGUUUAAGUCUCUGGCCUUAAAGGGACCCUUCAAAUUUUCUUUUAAGAAGUAGUUUUUGUAGAAGGGAAGUGAAAUUUUUUUUUGCGCUAGUCUUCUUUGUGGAAUGAAACAUUGUUUAUCUGAUGGCUGUGUCCAGAUUCAAAUUCAGGAUGAAUGAAGGUGACUUCUGUGGUUAAAAGCCAACAUAUUAUCAUUUAGAAUUCUGCAGAUUUUCCCAGUGACCAAAAAGGGAUUCAGACAAUUCCUUUAUUCAUGUCAGCAGAGUAAAAUAUUGUUCAGCUCUUUUCUCAACCUAUAAAAUGAAUGAUUCAGAUAAAAUUUCUUUUUUUUUCUGUGACUUGGAUGCUUAUGUAAUCAAAUGAAUUAGAAGGUUGUCAAACCUCCCACUUCAUUGUGAGCUAUGUGUUUCACAAUUGAAAAAUAAAUGAUGACUCUGUUAAUCUCAGGAAUUUAUAAUUUGAUGGAUGUAAGUUUAUUUAAUAUCCUUUAACCACAUAAUUGUCAUUCUUAGUCACUUAACUUGAUUUGUGUUGAGAUGAAAUUACUAAUUUGAAAUUUGGUUAAUUUGAAAACAGCAUAAUUUAAAUAAGGCAUAAGUACUCUCAUUUUGGAGUAGUGUUCAUUACUUACACUGUUAUAUUAAACUUCUGUGAGAAAAGUAGAUAACAUGAUUCAAUUUCUGUGUUUCAUUCAUCAUGUUUUCCACAUAUAAUACUUUACUUUGCAAGUAUAAUUAAUUGUUCUUUAGGAACUAGACUUAUCUCAUAAUACUACUCUUUGAAGACAGAGGUCCUGCAUAGGAAGUUAGUGCACAGUGACUCCAGUUGUUAAUUUAACAAUUAACACUCUUAUGUAUGACAUCAGUGAUCACCCGAGGCUCUUGACAUGAGCUGUCUAGGCUAUGGAAGCCUUUUGAAUCUGCUAACUCCUUCAAUAUUUAAACAACGCCAUAAGCAAAGUGGAACUUCUCUCCUCCCUUCAGAGUGAAGUAGAUCCUUCUUUGAUGGCCACUUCUUUCCACUGGGGUCUCACCAUAGAGAUCCUUCAUGUAGGACACUUUUUGCCACAGUGUCUUGGCUUUCCAUGCCUGAAAUGCUUCUGUGAGCUUUUCAGCCAGACCAGGAUGUCUUAAGGGCUGAUUCUGAGGUCAGAGUGCUAUUUUAAGUGAUUAGACAGAGUAUUUAUUUUUAUAAACUUUAAUUCUUUUUCAUACUAUUUUUACUAUUAUCAGUGACACACCUAACAGUUGAUACUGUGGUUGAAAUCAGCUACAGUAACCUAGACAGAGUAUUUAUUUUUAGAUUACAGUAUCUGAUUUCAACCACAGUAUCAACUGUUGGGUGUGUCACUGAUAACAGUAAAAAUAGUGUGAAAAAGAAAGUCUACAAGUAAUAUUUUAAACAUAAAUUCUUGCAGAGGUUACUCUAAAACAGUGCUCCAUCCACCCCCCUACAAUUCUAUUUUCUUUCUUGAGAGGGAAACAGGAGUGCAGUUGCAAUCAGUACUCUAGGAACCUUAAAUUAAGUGUUGACCAGUAACCCGCAUGCACCCAGAGGGGGAUCUUCCUUGCCAUCCAUCAUGAUUGUCAUGCUGAAAGGUCAAGAAUAGCUAAGCAAAUCCACCUUGCAGCUAAACCUAUGUGAAGCUUUUCCUCCUACCUUAACUGAUUAGCUAAGAAAAAUAUAUUAGUAUACCUGGAAUCAUCAGAUGUUCUGAAACUCAGGAACAAAUCCUACGUUCUCACUGUCUUAUCAUCUGACUACAAUGCUCUUUACUAAAUGCAUUCCUGUCUUCAACUGAUUUUAGACAUGCACCAGCAACAAAAUCUCCAGGUGACACUUUAAUCAAAAAUAAAAGGAGAAAUGUUUAGUAGUUUGAGUAAAUGAGUAGUUAAUAAAUUCUGGUUUGGUACAUGUUUUGGAUUAUGCUGUUUCUGAAAUACCAAAUCAAGGUAAAAGGACAUUAAAUUACAACUGUAUUUAUGAAGAUUUAACAAAGCAAGCAGUGUUUUAAAUGAAUGUGCAAAGGUCAACUAAAACUCACUGUGUUUAAGGCUUUUAUCCCAACUUCAGAUCCUCUGAAACAAACUAAUUAAUUUAACCUUAAAAACAUUGCUCUGGGCCACUUUUUACUUCUGAAAUACAAGUCCCAAAUAGUAGGAUAUCAGCUUCGCAGUUCCCAAAAUACAAGUACUAAAUAGUAUUACAUUAGCCUCAAAAGUAAAUACUGUCAAAGAACUAAUUACAAUUUUGGCCAUUUUGUAAAUAUGAAUAGUAGUAUUUUAAAUCCCACAGCUUAGAAUUAUUUUGUGCUUCAUGCAUGUUAAGGAAAAAAAUACUUUAUGCUUCAUGCACGUGGAAGGAAAACAUAUUAAGGCUGUUUUUUUUCUUUUUAUGCAGUCAAUAAACUGUAUUAUAUCACUAUAUAUAACUGAUACAAAGAAUGGUCAACUGAUUUGUUAAAUUCUUUCUGUAACAAGAUAGAAUUAUAGAAUAAUUUAAAAUACAUAAAGGUUAUUUCCUUGACCUCUCUUUUUAAUUUGUACAUAUUGUUCUAGGACACUUUUUCAGGCAAAAUUUAACAUUCUCAAACACUUUUCAAUAAAGAUAAAUUAUGAGAGUUGCAGGCAUUAGGUGCUGCAGUUAAGCCACCACUUGGAUGCUCACAUCCCAUGUUCAAGUGUCGGGUUCCAAUCCCAGAUUUGCUUUCCAUUCCAGCUUUCUGCUGACAUGCGUUCUGAAAGGCAGUGGUGAUCCUUGAGAAGUUAGGUCCCUGCCACCUGUGUCAGCGACUCACUUAGUUCCAGGAUCCCAGCUUUAGCCUGGCCCUGCCUCAGCUGUUGUGGAUGGCAGAUCUUUCUCUCCAUCUCUCUCUCAGGUAAAUACAAAUAAAGAAUUAUUUUUAAAAAGAUGCAUUUUGGAUGUGACUUUGCGCAAAGAUAAAAUAUGAAAAUCUAUUUAGUAAUACAAAGGGCUGCUCAGAAGGUAGAAACAAAAUACAGUCACUAAUUCAUAUAGCUCAAGGGAAGGAGAUAGGAUCAUUCCUGAAUUAUUGGCUAUUAUGGAGGAAAUGCAGACUUCUUUUUCUUCUUAUGGAAUAUAUGAGAAGGUUUAAAAAUAUGUAGUUUUUUUUUUUUCAAGAGAUAAAAACAUAUUAAGUUCUUGGAAUGUUGCCAUAGAUAGCUGUGGUUCAAGUAGAGAAAGAUGUAUUUUCAAAUUUCAAGGAACAAAGAGUGUCUUUGUUUUGUUCCACUCUCUGUGGAAAUACUUUAAAACUGCCCUGAGGACCAAGUAGCAUCAGAUAAGUUGUGACGUCAUUCUCCUGUGUCCUCAGCUUGUGACCCAUCCCUGCAGUAUUCAGAUACAAAAUAGGUUCUAAUUGUCAAGGAGUUUACUUUUUCUGGAAUUCAUUGCAAUUGAAAAACAAAUUAUGAGUUUAUAGUAUGCUUUCUUUUUUUCUUUUUUCUUUCUUUUUUUUUUUUCUUGACAGUCAGAGUGGACAGUGAGAGAGAGAGAGACAGAGAGAAAGGUCUUCCUUUGCUGUUGGUUCACCCUCCAAUGGCCGCUGCGGCCGGUGUACCGCGCUGAUCUGAAGGCAGGAGCCAGAUGCUUCUCCUGGUCUCCCAUGGGGUGCAGGGCCCAAGCACUUGGGCCAUCCUCCACUGCACUCCCUGGCCACAGCAGAGAGCUGGCCUGGAAGAGGGGCAACCGGGACAGAAUCCAGUGCCCUGACCGGGACUAGAACCAGGUGUGGCGGCGCCGCAAGGCGGAGGAUUAGCCUGUUGAGCCGCAGUGCCGGCCUAUAGUAUGCUUUCAUUUCAUAAAGCUACACUUUCUACUGAUCCAAAUGAAAUCACUCAUGUAUUUAUCAUUCCAAGUGUUCAGCUUUUUCACAUCGUUAGAGGCAAUUUUGAUCCCUUUAGAAAUAUUUUACUAGUCUUUGUCCACCUCCCGAUUCCUGCUAUCACUGACCUGCUUCUGGUCCUGUUUACCUCUCCUUCAACAGUUGCCUCACUGGUUUGUUUAUUCCAUUCUCUCCUCUGCACAGUACAGGGGUGAUCUACAUAGGAUGCAGUUCUCCUGAUGUCGCCUCCUGCUAGAACCCUGCAGUGGCUUCCCACAACUGGCAGACAAAGACAAGUUCUAUUUAGGGCUGACUCCAGUCCUUGUGAGUGGCAGUGGCCAUUGUCCGUCUGCUCCACCCUCAGACUCUCAGCCUCACUCCAGCAUCCUUGAACUUCUUGCAGAGUCCUACCCUUCCAAGCCUUUGCCUUUCACCAUCCUGCCCUUUAGUGCACUUCUUUCUUCUACUCUAAUUUCUCCUUUAAGUCUCAGCUCCCAUGUCGCCUCCUCCAGACAUUGUCUGUGAGCCCAUGGCCAUAUCUCACUUACCACACUUUGAUGCUGUUUUUAAUAAUUAAAUGUCUGCUUUCUCCAGUAAAUUGUUAAUUUUUGAAGAACAAGAACAAUGUGAUACUACUCCAACAAAACCAGAAGAGCUGAAAAUAGCUAGUUAAACAUUUCUUUCAAAAUAUUUUAUUUGGCCUGAACCAAGGCUUAAAUUCUUGCAAAGAAGCAUUUGCAAAGAAUCAAGUUCGGGCUACAAAGCACUGGGUGCAGGUGGUUUAGAUAUAUCAAAUGUCAGCAUUUUCAGGUGUUUGUUCAUUUGAUCUGAUUUUUAAAACAUGUUUUCAUUUAUCCAAUUCUGUUUGUCAUGUGUGCUUUGAUUUUCAGCUAAGUUGCAAGAACGUACAUGGCUCUGUAAAGGAAGUAAUUACCCAAGAUGAGGACAUGUGAUACACUUUCUGUUCCUGUGAAAAUUGUAAAACUAUUCAUUCUAAGAUAUUUUUCUCUUAAAGUUUUUAAAAAUGGUCUAUUUCAGUAAAUGAUUUGCUUGUAGCUGCUUUUAGAUACUAAUAUUCUGUAGUAAUUUUUUUGUGUGCCUUAAAAAUAUGGCCAAACCACAUAUUCCCAUUAAAAUAAAUGUGAAUCCUAAAUUAGUUCUCUCUUAGUACUGAUAGCUACACAUAACAUAAGGUGUUAUGUACUUAACGUUGUUACCAGUCAUUUCUGUUCUCUGGCAAAGCUUAAUAAUUUUCAGAUAGCUUUUCAUGAUCAUAAUUGGGUCAUAGGAAAGAUAAUUACCUUUUUGAUGUAUUCAGUCAUAAAUAUUUAGAGAAAUAUUUCUCCUUAAUGAUAGUGGAAUCAUGUAAACUUCUAAAAAAGAUUGGUUUCUGAAACUGAAAAAGAUCAAACUGGAAUAUUUGUAAGCUCACUGUUUAAGUGUUUAAAUAAUAUAUCCACAACAUGUGUCUUUUUAUUAUGCCUUUGUGAAUUGUCCUGUUUUAUUCUCUUGAUUUCCCAAAAGUCACCUGGGGAAAGCCGUGAUGGGAUACAUGUAAGAGAGGAUAGUAUAUUUUUUUUAGACAACUGCAAUAAUGACUUUCUUUGCUUACUCCUAUAUGUUAGCAAUUUUGCCAAAAUAGAGUCACAUAGAAGGAUUUAUUCCCAUAUUAAUUACAUAAUUUGGGGGCUCCUUUGUAAUAAAAGGGGAUAAAAUAUGUUCUAAAAUUUUCCAAAUAUCUCAUUCUUACUUUUUAAAAAUAUUGUCUUGAUUUUUCUGAAAAUGGCUGUUGUUCAGUGAUUAAAAAGGUAUUUGCAGGCCAGCGCUAUGGCUCACUUGGCUAAUCCUCCGCCUGUGGUGCCGGCACCCCAGGUUCUAAUCCUGGUUUGGGCACCAGUUCUGUCCCGGUUCCUCUUCUUCCAGUUCAGCUCUCUGCUGUGGCCUGGGAAGGCAGUGGAGCAUGGCCCAAGUGCUUGGGCCCCUGCACCUGCAUGAGAGACCUGGAGAAAGCACCUGGCUCCUGGCUUCCAAUCGGCCUAGUUCUGGCCAUAGCGGCCAUUUGAGGGGUGAACCAACGGAAGGAAGACCUUUGGCUCUGUCACUGUCUAACUCUAUCUGUCAAAAAAAGAAAGAAAGUAAGAAAGAAAAAAGAAAAGAAAAGAUCCAGCUUCCUGCUAAUGGCCUGGGAAAGCAGUAGAGGAUGGCCCAAGUGCUUCGGCCCUGCACCCACGUGGGACACCUGGAAGAAGCUCCUGGUUCCUGGCCGUUGCAGCCUUCUAGGGAGUGAAUCAACAAUUGGAAGAUCUUUCUCUCUCUGUCUCUCCCUCUCUCUGUCUGUAACUCUGCCUCUCAAAUAGAUAAAUACAUCUUUUUAAAAAAUGGAUGCUUGAUCCUAUUCUAAAUCUCUUGAUUCACUGAUGCUACAUAGAAUAUAAUAGCUCUUUCUCUUUUUCUUUCUUUACCUCUCUGACCUUACUACAUUUAAAGGAUGAUUGUGAUGCUAUGGCAUUAAAAGAUAUCUAUAAAGUAAUUUCCAGUGAAGGUGCUGUAGUUCUAAGUUUUAUUACGUUGCCCUCAAUUCAGAAACAUAGGGACCCAACUUAGAUUGCCUUUUUUUUUUUUUUUUUUUGACAGGCAGAGUGGACAGUGAGAGAGAGAGAGACAGAGAGAAAGGACUUCCUUCCAUUGGUUCAUCCCCCAAAUGGCUUCUGCGGCCGGCGCACUGCGCCGAUCCCAAGGCAGGAGCCAGGUGCUUCCUCCUGGUCUCCCAUGCGGGUGCAGGGCCCAAGCACUUGGGCCAUCCUCCACUGCUCUCCUGGGCCACAGCAGAGAGCUAGACUGGAAGAGCAACUGGGACAGAACCGGCGCCCCAACCGGGACUAGAACCUAGGGUGCCAGUGCCGCAGGCGGAGGAUUAGCCAAGUGAGCCGCGGUGCUGGCCUAGAUUGCUUUUCAAGUACUUUCCAAUUUGAAUCUUUCAUGCUACCUUUUCUCCAAAUAAACUGACAUAAUCAUUGUUUCUGUUGUUUCUGAUGACUUCUUGUUUUUUUUCCUCUCUGUCUUUGCUCAGUUUAUUUCUAUCACUUGAUGUGCUUUCAUUACUUUUUGAGUUCAAAUCCCAUCCACAUCAAUUUCCUUAACUGCACAGUGAGAUGAUGACAUUCUUGGUACUUGUUUCCUAGGGUAUCCUAAAUAACCAUUUAUUUACUCCAGUCUAGAUGGCCCAAUUUUGAGGACAGAUAUCCUGGGUCAUUAGAAUUCACUGCAAGUCUGCUAGGCAUCAAUAAGGUUAAACCACUGAAACUAAAACUAAAAUAUAUCUUCAUGUUGGUUUCAUUUACUGCUUUUUUUAAUGUUUGAUAAGUAUGGUUAGGACAGACACACUUUGCCAAGCUACAAUAGCCUCUACAGAAUAAAAGUAAUACCAUUUAGUUCCUCGUGUAGAUUUUGUUAAGAAUAGGAAUGUUUGAGUAGGUGUAGACUGAGAUGUUGGAACAUUUUUUGUGCAAAUAUUCUUAAAAAUAUUCCUAGAGGCUUUACUGUGGGCUUUUUUUAUGUAAAGCAAAGCCAAUAAGAUAAAAGAAAAACUGUGAAAGUUAAUGUCUUCUAUAGGAUUUUAUGGUCAGUUAAGAAAUUUCAAAGAAAUUAUCAGACUUAAUUUUUAACAACAGGAAAAAUAUAUCAGAUUUUAUACUUUAAAUACUUAAAUCUAAAAGCUAGUUUUUACUAUUGGGACCAUACUAACUGGUACAAAUUCCCUGAAAUAAAUGAUCAAAGUAAGAAUUUUAGUGCAAGAUAUAAAAUUAUAUUCUAAUGGGUAUUCCUGUCUCACUUUUUUAAUUUUUUUUUUUAUUUUUUGACAGGCAGAGUGGACAGUGAGAGAGAGAGACAGAGAGAAAGGUCUUCCUUUGCCGUUGGUUCACCCUCCAAUGGCCGCCGCGGCCGGUGCACUGUGCUGAUCCGAUGGCAGGAGCCAGGAACCAGGUGCUUUUCCUGGUCUCCCAUGGGGUGCAGGGCCCAAGCACCUGGGCCAUCCUCCACUGCACUCCCUGGCCACAGCAGAGGGCUGGCCUGGAAGAAGGGCAACCGGGACAGAAUCCGGCGCCCCGACCGGGACUAGAACCCGGUGUGCCGGCGCUGCAAGGCGGAGGAUUAGCCUAGUGAGCCGCAGCGCCGGCCUAAACAGUGUUUCUAAUUCAGAAUAAUUAGCUCCUCUGAAGAUGGGAUUUGUUUGCAUAUUUGCAAAGCCACCUACUUUUAAAAGGUUUUAGCCUUUUCCUUUACUAAAUUUGAAAUUUGGAAUCUCAUUAAUUUUACUAUCUCACUAGACAAUCAGUGUUGAUAAAUACUGUUAUAAAUAUUUAGGCACAUGCUCUAAUUAAAUUAUUAUGUCAGUAUCAAUUUUUCUUAAUAAUCAGAGUAUUUUGUAAGUGAUCAUUUUUGCCUCAUUUGUAGCUGUUAUCCAGCUUUUGAUUAUAUGCAUGUGUUUAUACAUUUAAAAAGUCAUUAUUAUACUUUACAAUCUAGAUUUAGUUAGAAAUGAAAUAAAAUUUAUAUUUGUUAUUGAAAUGAACAGUAUUUAAAACAUUCAAAAAUAGCCCUUCAGAAAAAUUGUGGCCUUGAUAAAAUGCUUAAGGAUCAAUUUAUUUCAUAAUCUUUGAAUCUCCUGGAAUUUAAAUUAUACAUUAACCUGACAAUAGUUAAUUUAGAACAGAAUAUAAGCUAGAUACCAAUUAUAAUUUAAAUGUAUGUGUUGAAUGGUUCAGUAGAUACAUAACUUUAAUGAAAUCCAAGUCAGAAGCAUUUGCUUUCACUAGCUAUCCAGACCAAGUGGACAAGCAUCCAAGGUCCACAGCUGACAUCUGGCAUUUUUAUGCAAUCAUUCAACACAUUCAAGAGUCUUGCCCUGACCUGGCCUGUUACCCAAAUUUAGCUCCAAAACUGUAAUUUUUCCCCAUUUAAGAUUUAGAUUUUCCCAACCAAUUUUUUUUAAUCUUGAAAAUGUGUCCCCACCCUUGAUAACUCCCAUCAUCUGCUGUCCAACUGCUAGUCUAGGACCUUAUACUUUUGGAUAAGGUCAUAAUACCCCUUUGAGUUCAGCCACCAUUUUUAAGAAAUUCACCUCCUACUUAACCUUAUAUGAUCCCCCAUUGAUUUCCUGCCAUAGUUCUGGAGAAACUGCCUUCUUACAGCUCCUAAAGAAUUCUCUUCAUUCUUUGUUUGGUAUCUGUCAUGCUCAUUUCAGCCAAUUCUACUUUGGGGUUUUGUAGCCAAGUUCUGUGCACCACUUGAAAGGUAAUUUUCUCUUCCUAUGUUUUUUCAAAUACCCUUACCAGCUUCAGAGGCAUGCCAGUAUCAAUGUAGGACAUAUAGACUCAUCGAUAAUAGCUUCUAUUGUUACUUCAGUGAUACUGUCCCUUACCAUGGGCCCAGCUUUAGAAGAAGGAGCUCCAUUUAGCUUUCUCUUGAUCCCCGUAGAGGAUACAGAGACACACAUGAGGUGCUUAAUGAAUAAUCAUUAAUUCAGUAAAUUUUAAAGUUUACUGUGAAAAUUACAUGUCUUGAUCAUAGAGAGUUUUGGCCUUCAAAGGAAUAUAUGGAAAAAUCUAAAGACAUUUUUGGUCAACACAACCAGAAAGGAAAUCCUACUGACGUCUAAUGAAUAGAUGCCUUGGAUGCUACUAAACUACCUGCAAAACACAGGAAAGCACUGCAAUGAAUGAGUACUAAUGUCAAUGAAUGAGUACUAAUGUCAAUGAAUGAGUACUGCAAUGUCAAGAGUACCAAGGUUAAAUCUUGCUUAAAUAGAUGUUACAUUUGACUGAAAACAACCAACAAUCGUAUAUAUUUUCUCAGAAGAAAGAAUAUCUAGGGAUUCAAUCAUUGAACACAAAUACAUGUAAUCCCCCUCUUUCUUUCUACUAUGUCUGAUUAAAGUAAUACUCCAGAGAUAGCCAGGAGUGAUCUGAAAACUUAGUUCUUUAAAUGUUCACAUGGCUGCUCCACAAAACAAAGAUAAACUGAAUCUACACUGUAUUUAUCACAGUACUUUGAUUUUUUGGUUGCAACUAUGUUUAUUGACGCUAAAUGUACCUUUGAUUUUUUUGCUAUUCACCAGUCUUUACCUUUUAUUAUUCCUCUUGGGAUAAAGAUUUGCUUUGUUUUUGCCAAUGUAUUUUUUGAUACUUAUAUUUUAAUUACAAUUAAAUGAGAAAUCCUCAUCUAUAUUUUUCAAAUAGUUGCUCAAAUGGAGACCUUGUAUUUUGUUAGUAUUAAAAUCUGAAAUGGAAAGGAGUUAGGUUAGAGCAAAAUUUAGAAAAAAAAGUUGAAAUAUAAAAGGGAAGGUUCUUUUGGAUGGUAUUAAAGACAUGACAUUGUUUGGAGUUUUUCCUUAUUAAAAGAGAGAAAAAAGUGGGGCCGGCGCUGUGGUUCACUUGGCUAAUCCUCCAUCUGCGGUGCCAGAAUCCCAUAUGGGCACUGGGUUCUAAUCCCGGUUGCUCCUCUUCCAGUCCAGCUCUCUGCUGUGGCCCGGGAGGGCAGUGGAGGAUGGCCCAAGUGCUUUGACUCUGUACCCGCAUGGGAGACCAGGAGGAAGCCCCUGGCUCCUGGCUUCGGAUCGGCACAGCGCUGACUGAAGAGGCCAUUUUGGGGGGUGAACCAAUGGAAGGAAGACCUUUCUCUCUGUCUCUCUCUCACUGUCUAUAACUCUACCUGUAAAAUAAGUAAAAACAACAAAAAAAAGUCUUAAAGAGAAAAAAGUUACAUUUAGGGUUAUUGAAUGAGUAAUUUUUGUCAGAUUUUCCCCUAGAUGCAGAAAUGAAAAUAGCAAAUGAAAAGUGGCAAUCAGUGCAGUUCCCCUUUUGUAUCAUUCAUGCAUUUUUCUUAUUUUUAAAAAAUAUUUAUUUUAAAGGCAGAGUUAUAAAGACACACCCACCCACCCACACACCCACACACACCCACACACAAAGAGAGAGAGAGAGAGAGAGAGAGAGAAAGAAAGAGAGAGAGCUUCCUCUGUUACUUCACUCCCCAAAAACCACAACUUCUAAGACUGAGCUGGGCUGAAGACAGGAGCCAGGACUUCUUACAGGACUUACAAAUAGGUACAAGAGCCCAGUACUUGGGUGGGAAUGGAACAGUUAGAACUUGAGCUGGCACCUAAAUGGGAUGCUGGCAUCACAGGCAAUGUCAUAACCCACUAUGCCACAAUACCAGCCUCCCAUGUAUUUUUCAAUGAGUACUCUGAUUCCUAGCAUAUUUUGGAAAUAUUACAUAUGUAGUUUUUAUUGUUAUGCUUGAUUUUGACACCUUCCAAAAUAAUAAAUAGUCUAUUUAUAGUAUUGAUUAUCUUUCUUUUUUUUUAAGAUUCUUUAACAAUAACAUAGACAUAGAUAACUUACCCACUUUCUUAGUAAUGGUUUGGUGGCAGAAGUCUUUCUAACUGUGUGCUUUUAUUGCCUUGUUUUUAGGACAUUUAUUUCAAUCUAUAGAAAACACCCAGAUAAUUUGGUCUUGGAAUCUCAUUCAUUGGUGAACUCAAGACAUUCAAAUAAACACUAAUCGGGUUACACUUGGUCCUUGGAGAGGAAAUAUUUCUAGAAAUAAAAAUACUAUUAUUCUCUUUCUCCUAUAAUUUUCAUAGCACUCUGAUGGCAGUUUUAUGGCCCCUAACAGAGAUUUGGCCCAGAAAAGAGAUGCUUAAACUGAGGGUGUACCCCUGUUAAAUCAAAAUAAAUUGAGAAAUAGCUAGAACUAUAACAACUUCUCUUGAUGUCCUGAAAAUUGUUUCAAGAUGUUUUCUAUAAACUUUCACUACUUUUGCUUUUUUAAAAAAAUUUAUUCAUUCAGCAUAUAUUUACUAAGUAUAAUCCAUGUACCAAUGACUAGGUCUUGAGUGCUGGUGACUGGUGAGCAUACUGGUCAUUCUUCCUAUGCUACAGAGAUGACAGCAUCACUGAGAAAACAGAUAAGUAUCAAAUAACUAUGCCGUUAGUCCAUUCAAAAGAAUACAUAUUGAGUGCCCCCUAUGUUCUGGACCUCUAGUGCAUUUAAAGAACCCAUAGACUGAAUCCAUGAAGCUUAUAUGCUGGUGGACAAAUAGGACAGUAGACAAAUAAAUAGAUUUUAUCAUGGAGGGUGGUGCUAUCAAUAAAAAUGAAUGUCGAGGCAUGGAAAAUUUGGGCAUUGGGGAUAAUAUGUUUAAAGUCACAGUAAUCAGGGAAGGCCUCUCCAGGGGAAGAUAUUUGAACAGAGACCUGAAUGAAGAAAGAUCUCAUCCUGACAUGAAAACAGAAGUUUAGACAGCAAGUGCCUGACUUCUUAGAGGAUUAGCAAGAGAAAUGAAGUGAGUGAAGGGGAGAGCUAUAGGAAGUAAGAUCAGAGCAAUAGGAAGGGGCCAGAUCUUAGAAAAAAAGCUGGUUAUUUCAACCUAAAGAAAGUGCAUUAUAACAAAAUACAAGAUCUUAAGAGAAUAUGUAACUUAGAGCCCAAUCUGAGGAUUCAGGGUAGGAUUCCUUUAGGACCUGAAUUGCUCCUCUCCCCACAUCCUCAACCCCUCAUUGAAAAUUCACUUAAUUUCUGAUGUGGCUAUAUAUUUAGAUAAGGCCUUUAAAUAUAUAAUUGAAGUCCAGUAUGGUCAUAAGGAUGGGGCUCUAGUUGAGUAGGACCAGUGCCCUCCCAGUAAGCAAUGGAAGUGUCGUAAAAGAAAUGUGCAUAUGGAGGAAAGGCCAUGUGAGAUGCAGUGAGAAACAAGGUGGCCAUGUGCAAGCUAAGCAAAGAGGCCUGGAGAAACCAACGCUGCAACACUUGAUCUUGGUCUUUGAGCCUACAGAACCAAGGAAAUCAAUGUCUGCUGUUUAAGCAGUUUUUAAGUGUUUAUUUGUGUUUAUUUGAAAGGCAGAGUGUCAAAGAGAGAGAAAAAUUUUCCAUCUGCUGGUUCAUUCCACAAAUGCUCACAACAACCCAGGCUGUGCCAUGCCAGGGGCAGGAGCCAGAAACUCCAUGUGGGUCUCCCACAUCAGUGGCAGGGACCCAAGUAUGACAGCAAUCAUCUACUGUCUCCCGAAGUGUACAUUAGCCAGAAACUGGACCGAAAGCAGAGGUGGGACUGAAACCCACGCGCUCUGAUAUAGGAAGUAGGCAUCCUAAGUGGCAUUUUAAUCUACUGAGCUACUAUGCCAUCCCUGAGCAACUUUGAAAGCUUACAAAUUUUAUAAAAGUUUAGGCUUCUGGGCUAAAACUUUUUGUUUUCUUACUAAAAUACCCAGCCAUGGCAUUUGGUUACUGAGGUUAGCCGACUCACACAGCUUCUCUGAGGAGGUGAACUUUGGGCUGAAAUCCAAAGAAUGGCUAGGAGUUAAGCUCCUGGAGAGAAGAAUAGAGAUCAGCAUGGGCAAAGGAUGGAAAGCAUUUGGAAGGUUUGAGAAUCAAAGAGCACGGGUUGGCUGAAGUCAGAGUGCAAGCAUGAGAGCAGUGCAUGUGGAAUGAGAGAAGAGGAAGGAAGCCAAAUCAUUCCAGGUCUGCUGGGCUCUGUGAAGGGGUUUGGCCUUUAUCCCAAAUGGCUGGACAUGAUCAGAUCUGCGUUUUAAUACAUCAUCUGGCUAUGUAGAACUGGAGUAGGGAAAAAGUACAUCUCUUUAAUGAGCGGUAAAGCAACCUCCAGAGGGAUGGUGGCAGUGCAGUUUGAGAGAAUUCUUUGAUAUUUAUGAUGAAGUUGAUGGGAUUGGUCCUAUACUUCCGGGUCUUCUAGGAAGAAGGAAAUUUUCUAACUUAAAGUUGGUAUUCUUUUUUUAAUGAUUAUUUAUUUGAAAGGCAGAGUUAUUUACAGAGAGAAGGAGAGACAGAGAGGUCUUACAACCACUGUUUCACUCCCCAAAUGGCUACAAUGACCCAGGCUGGGCAAGGCUGAAGCCAGAAACCACGAGCCAGGAGCCAAAGAUUUCUUUGGGUCUCCCAAGUGGGUGCAGAGACCCAAGAACAGGCCAUCCUGUGCUGCUUUUACUGACAUAUUAGCAGGGAGUUGGAUAAGAAGUGGAGCAACUGGGACUUGAACCUGCGACCACAUGGGAUGCUGGCGCUGCAGACUGUGGCUUAACCUGCUGUGCCACAGCACUGGUCCCCAAAAUGCUAUUCUUGAGGUGGACAAUACUGGAGUCAAAAUGUUACGCCCUCUCUACCAGUACCAUUUGUUGAACUCUACCAGUACUCUUGUUGAACUUGAGAUGCUUCUGAAACUUCCAAGUGGAGAAUUAGUCAUUGGAUGAAUCUGGAGCACAGAGAACAGAUGGAUACAGGAGAUAUAAACUUGGAGGUCACUCGUGUGUAUGGUAGCUGAAACCUGCUACAGUGUCAGUUCUCCAUGAAUACAAAUUUUAUCUGUUUUUUAAUCUGUUGUAUCGCAAUAUGCAGAAGACAUUCAGCACAUACAAAUAUUUGUUAAAUGAUUGAACUAAACUACUUAGAGAUUUUAACAUGAAAGGAGUAUCAGGUCUGGAAUGAAAUCUGGUGGAAUGACAACAUUUAUUGGUAGGGAGAAGAUAAUGAGCUUACAGAGAAACCAACAAAGGAAUAGUCAGAGAGGAGAAGAAAUCCAUACAGUCUGAGGUUUGAGAAACCAACAAGAAGAUGUUUCAAAAAGACAAGAGAAUCCAUCUUUGGAGUGAGUGGCAUGCAGCAUCAAGCCUAGCACAACUUUGAAUCCCAUCACCUGGAUGGGCUUUAAAAAUAUUUGUCUGAGCCGGUGCUGCAGCUCAAUAGGCUAAUCCUCCGCCUGCAGCGCCAACACCCCGGGUUCUAGUCCCGGUUGGUGUGCCGGAUUCUGUCCUGGUUGCUUCUCUUCCAGUCCAGCUCUCUGCUGUGGCCCGGGAAGGCAGUGGAGGAUGGCCCAAGUGCUUGGGCCCUGCACCCGCAUGGAAGACCAGGAUAAGUACCUGGCUCCUGGCUUCGGAUCAGUGCGGUGUGCUGGCCGCAGCACACCGGCUGCAGUGGCCAUUGCAGGGUGAGCCAACGGAAAAGGAAGACCUUUCUCUCUGUCUCCUCUCUCACUGUCUACUCUGCCUGUCCGAAAAAAAAAAAAAAAAACUUGUCUGUUUUUCACUGUUGUCAAACUGAGACUCUGAGUGUUUGAUUACUUACAUGUAAUUCUACCUGACAUAAUAGCUUCUAGAACUACCAUUGAAAGCACAUCUCUGACACAUUCCCAGCAUGAGUUCAUCUAUACUUACAGAAUUAUUCUUCAUAUUAAAUUAUGACCAUACUGACAUUUGGGUAGAAGUAUAUUCAACUAAUAGAACCCCGGUAGCUUGCCUUGACAGGCUCAUUAGGAGUAUCCUCCACAGAUGAAAGUCCAGUGAGUUUUUGCUUUGCUGCAUAUUCCUGUUAGUUCUUACUGCACUUCCUUAUACUUUACAUAAUAAAGACUUUAUUAAGUUCAGGUAUAACCACAUGAUGAGUUCCAAUUAGGAUUUCAAUGAACGAUAGAAAAAAUUAUUCAACCACCUAUAUACAUUAUUUAAAAAAAACUGAAUAAAAGAAAAAUUACAUUUGGUAAAGAUUAUAGUGAAUUUCCAGGUUGGUGAGUAUCCUUUGUCUAGCUCUAGUUAUUUCAUACAGCUUCUUGUGCCUUGCAGCAGAGCUGAGAGCCCUUCUGGGGACUGUUGCUCACACUAAUGAACAUGGGUGUUUUAUAACUAAAUUGAGGUCACAGCUCUCCACUAGAGAUUAAGGAUAUUUACCAGAAAACCUUGCCAGUCCAUCUCAUCUGAAAAGCCUCUUCCUUGAGACAGAUAAUUCACUUGACUUUUACUUAUUAUCCACAAUGGAAAGAAUAAAAGUCAUCAAUUAGUCCUUAGUUUAAAUCUCAACUAUAGACUGUAAAUAUUUAGCUUAAGGAAUACAUUUUCUUCUCCCUCCCUGCCUUAUUUUUCUUCAACACAUUUUUUCAUAAUUGAGAUGUUAUUAUAUAUUACUUAUUUGGUUUUGAUUAGUUUUCCAUUGGAAGAUAAUCUUUGUGAGAACAGGAACACUUUCUCUCCGUUUACCAUAUCUCCAGACCCAAUACUACACCUGACAUAUUAUAUGUGCUCAGUAAUAUUUACAGAAUAAAUAGACUUAAAGUCCGAUGGCAGAAGGAAUACAUAAAACUAUUGGUGUGGGGGCUGAUAUUGUAGCACAACAGGUUAAGCCACCACCUGCAAGACUGGCAUCCCAUAUGAGCACUGGUUUGAAGCCCAGCUGCUCCGAUUCUCAUCUAGCUCCCUGCACUUGCGAAGGCAGCAGAAGAUGGCCCAUGUACUUGGGCCCCUGCGACCAAUGUGGGAGAUUUAAAUGAAUCUCCUGGCUCCUGGCUUCGGCCUGUUGUGGUCAUUUGGGGAGUGAACCAGUGGAUGGACGAUCUCUCUCUCUCUCUCUCUCUCUCUCUGUAACUCUGCUUUUCAAAAAAUAAAUAAAUCUUCCUAAAAUAGUGUUGGUUGAGUUUGUAAUUUAAUUGGAGAUGUGAUUUCUAACAUCAAGUCAUAUCUGUGAAACCUAAGCAAAUAUUUGGGUUUGCUGACAUCUCUAGUUGAUCUCUCCUAAGUUCCAGCCCUAUGUUAGAUGUUCCCCCUUGAAAGUUGAACAAUUAUUUUAAGUAAUUGUAUGUCAAAAAAGUCAGUAUUGGUACUGAAAAUCACCUCAACCCUCACACCUCCUACUCAUCAAAGAUUUUUUAUCUUUGAUGAAAAUAUCACCAUCAACCUGCUCUUUCAAGUUGUGAAAUUCUCCUUUAUUUUGGAUCUCCAGCCAAUCACCAAAUGCUAUCAAUUCUGCUUCUUCAAGGUCUUUUACAUCCAUCUCCCAAACCAUUUGCCUUCCUUUGUAAAAUGACUUCUUUUUCCUGCUAGCUCCAGUAACCUCUUAAGGAGUCCUUUAGUCUCUCUCUCUCUCUCUCUCUCUCUCUGUUAUGUGGGACACGGAUCAUUGUGUGUAUUCUUUUAUUUUUAAAAAUUUUUAUGUAUCUGUUUUUAGAACAAUUUUUAGCAUUUUGUGAUAUUCACAUCAUAUGUAACAUUAUAUAUAUGCGCAUACUGCUAUUUUUCUUGAAAGCGGGAAUAUUAGUAUCAUAUAACAUGGGAUUCAUGACAAAGAUCAUAAAGUGAAUGAAGUGUAUAUACUGAUUCUAUAACUCAGUGAAGACAACAUUUACAGCUGUAUACCAAACACAACAUCCACACCUUUUUUAUUCUUUAUAUAUAUAUAUAUAUAUUAAGUUGUCCAGUUGGUAUUCCAUAUUGUCAGCCAAGAUUUGUUAAAAUAGGAUAACAGCUUAUGUGGAAAUUAAUAAGCCAACAUUAGUUAACUUCUCCGCUUAAGGAAUAAAUACUCCAAUCCCAAAUGCGGCUUCUAGUCUUACAGAGGGGUAUGGAGAGUAGUGAAGAUAUGAUGCUGCAUUUCUCAGAAAUUCUCAGACAUUUAUUUUUUCAAAUUUUUAUUUUUUAAAAGAUUUAUUUAUUAUUUUGUGAGGCAGAUCUACAGACAGAGGGAGAGAGUGAGAAAGAGAGGUCUUCUAUCCUCAGGUUCAUUUCCCAAAUGUCUACAAUGGCUGGAGCUGCGCCAAUCCAAAGCCAGGAGCCAGGAGCUUCUUCCAGGUCUUUUACAUGGGUGCAGGGGCCCAAGGACCUGGGCCAUCUUCCACUGCUUUCCCAGGCCAUAACAGAGAGCUGGAUCAGAAGUGGAGCAGCCGGGUGUCGAACUGGUACUAUAUGGUAUGUAGGCGCCACAAACGGAGGCUUAGCCUACUCACCACAGCACCGGCCUCAAAUAGCAGAAUAAAAUGAGUUCCUUCAGAUGAUAUUCCAAGACUUUUACACAUGGACUUUUUUUUUUUUUAUCUUUCCAGCUUUAUAUCAAGCCAUUCACCAAAUCUUAAAUACAGAUGUUCUAGAUAGCUCCUAUGUUGUUUCCAGUGAGGUGUACACAUCAUCUUGGUGUGUGUCUUUUUUCAUCCCAUUCCCCUAACUGGAAAGAAUUUGCCUUUCCUCUUUCACACGUAAUGAAAUCCCUUUCAUUCCUACAAGCUUGACUCAAAUGUCAGUUCACCUAUGAGCUGCUAUCCCAGGCAGAAUUAAGCCUUUUCUCUUCACAUAUAAACUUCAUUUAUUACUCUGUAAGAGCACUUAAGCUGCUGUGGAAAAGAUUCUGAACUCUUUAGAGAUGUAUACUCUGAGUCCUCCUUGUUGUUGUUGUUGUUUGAGGUCUCUAAUUACAAAGUCUUAAUCUUUACCUAAUUACCUAUUUGAAGUAUCAAGUUCACACCAGCUAGUGUAUUUCCAAGGAGUUCCUGUCUUUCUCCCCAUAUACCCUGUAAAGUGCGAGCCACGAUUGUGCAAUGCAAUAUAGCUGCUGUGCUCUCUUUCUCCGAAGUUUUUUGUCUCUGAUCUGCAGCACUGGAAGAGCUUUAUAAAACCCAUUUGAUGGGAGCCCCUGCAUGUUCCUUGGAGAUCAAAAUGAAAAUGAAUCCUCUACUACCUGGGAAAAAAAGCCUUCAUAGCCCACCCCAUGUAAUACCUUGAAAUAGUUUGUUUUCCCUUCUUGCUCUGAUACAGCUCAGGAGCAGGUGCUGUUGUACUUUGUGCUUAAUGUUGUGGGUGACAAAAGGACAUGAAAAUAUUUUUUAUCCUAAGUAUGGAUAGUGGUUGCCUUGGGUAUUAUUCAGUAACUGCUGUGCUUUCACUAAUCAGCAUCAGAUUCAGAAUUUAAUUGUCAGCUGGUACAUGUCAGAAUUGCUUCGUAUUCUAGCUAAUUUCCAACAGGUUCUAAACAGUAGCUGCUAAUGUCGAGACAGUUCAAAAAUGGCAAAAACUUGAUUUCCCUUUAAUAUCUUGAGGAUCAUAUUCAUGGGCACCAGGGAGUCUGGCAAUAAAUCUAAUGGAUCUUUGCCAGCAUAUUUAGAAUAAACAAAUUAAUGCUAGCAACAGUUUUCUAACAGAAGAUAAUAAAGGAAAUGGGCAAACAAAUAAAUGCAAUGGAGAAGAAACAUGCAGUCUCUGUAAGCAGAUUGUUUUUGUGUUAAGUAGAUGGAACUUCUUAAAUGUAGGCAAGAUUUUUAAAUUACACAAUUUUGCUAAAUAACAUAGUAUUUGUCCCUAUCAUUAAGUGGUUAUCUUUCUGUUAAGGCCAAAAUUACAUUUAAAUGUGUUUUAUUACAAAGAAUCACUUUUCAGAUUAUUUACUAGUGAAUAUUUCUUUAAUUGGACUGAGGGGCUGGGAGAGUGAGUCAUCCCUAAGGUAGCCAGUUCCAGGCGGGUCACUGCAGGGUGAGAUUAACUCCUGUCCCUGUACCGGCUCUGAGAUCACGGAAGGACUCCUUGGGUGUUUGUACUGCACAGAAUGAUCACUACCUGAUGUAUUCCAUGUACAACCAAUCUCUCCUAACCUGUCCCAAACCCCUAGGCCAAAUCCUUUUGGGGUGGGUGUGGGGAGAUCUGACUGCACCUGGCAAACUUUGGCUGCUAAGCACAGUUGCAGAGCUGCGUAUGCUGUUUGUCCUUUGAGUAUUACAAAGCCUUUCUUUGUAUGUAAAUUUAGCAAAGGUCUUGAAAUAUAGAGUGAAAAUAGAGGAAUGAGCAUUUCCUGCCUGCCUUUGCACCGUAGUGAGAGUCCUUGGUUUCUCACUAUAGCAUAAAAAGAAUGGACAUGUAACUUACUCUGAAAUAUAGAUAUAUAAAUUUAAUUUUUAAAGAGAAAUCAUUUAUAAGAUGUCGCAAAAUAUACUUAACAUAUUUUUUUUACUGUGAUACUUUAAUAAUUAGAUAAUAAAUGCUAUGAAAUUCUAAUGGUAUUCUAAUAUUAACUAGGUUAUUAAAAAUAAUUAUUGCACAAACUUUGAAUAUUCUAACCUCAAGCUUUCACUUAUGUUAAGAAGUCUUACAUCUAAAUAAAAUAAUUUUGUCCAUUAUAUAUCUAAAUUGAAAAAUUUGAUGUUUAUAGUAUAGUUACCUUUCUAUUGUAUGUAAAAUUGAAAAAUGUAUUUGUGAUCAUAAUUGAACACCUAUUUCAAGGCAAUAAGAACUUUUACAUUUUGUCAAGGAUGAUAAAUUAGAUAGAAUAUUUUCUCAUAAAACUAGAAUCUGAAUCCAGAAACAUAUUUGCAUAUAGUACAGACAAAACAAUAGAUUUCAUGUUUAUUUUAAUUUUGAAAAAAUAGAUAUAUCAUUUAUAGUUCAUAAAAUGUUCAACAGAUUAAAAGAUUAGAUUAGAUUAACAGAUUAGAAGUUAGUGAAUGAGGGGCAGGUAUUUGAAACAGCUGUUAAGAUAUUGCUUGGAGCCGGCGCCGUGGCUCACUAGGCUAAUCCUCCGCCUAGCGGCGCCGGCACACCGGGUUCUAGUCCCGGUCGGGGCGCCGGAUUCUGUCCCGGUUGCCCUUCUUCCAGGCCAGCUCUCUGCUGUGGCCAGGGAGUGCAGUGGAGGAUGGCCCAGGUGCUUGGGCCCUGCACCCCAUGGGAGACCAGGAAAAGCACCUGGCUCCUGGCUCCUGCCACCGGAUCAGCGCAGUGUGCCGGCCGCAGCGCGCCUCCGCGGCGGCCAUUGGAGGGUGAACCAAUGGCAAAGGAAGACCUUUCUCUCUGUCUCUCUCUCUCUCUCACUGUCCACUCUGCCUGUCACAAAAAAAAAAAAAAAAAAAAAAAAAAAAAAAAAAAAAAAAAAGAUAUUGCUUGGUACACUCACAUCCUAUAUCAGAGUGCCUGGUUCAGGUCCCUGUUACUCUGCUUCCAAUCUAGCUUCCUGCUAAUGCGUACUAGGAAAGGCAGCAGAAGAUGGCUCAAGUACUGAGGUCCUGUGUCUCCCACUGGAGAGACUUGGAUUUAAUUCUGAGAUCCUGGUUUCACCUGGCUCAGGCCUCACUGUUAUUGGGCAUUUGGGUAGUGAACCAGUGGAUGAAAGAUCUUUUUGUUUGUCUUUGCCUUUCAAAUAAAGUGAAAAAUUAAAAUUAAAAUUAAAAAAGAAGGUAGCUAAUGAGCUCUUCAUAAUUUUCUCAAAACUUUCAUGUUCUUCAAAUUUAUACCCUUUUUGAUCUUUUAUUGAAUGAAAAUGAUGUUUAUAACAGAUGGUACCUAUUUAAAAAUAUUAGGUUACCAUACUUAAAAUAACUCAUAACAAUAACUAUGAAUUUCAUCUAAUAAAGGAAAUGUCUUUUCUAAAGAACACCUAAAUUACAUUAAAACAUCAAGAAGACUUAUUAUCUGGGGUGUGAUAAAAACAAAUAAGAGAGCAAACUAUAUAUGUCUAUUAGGUAGAAAGACUAGGGCUUAAAGGAAAUUAUAUAAAGAAUUAGCUGUGGGGAAAGUUACAAACUGAAUGUGAAAAAAAAGCAGAUCAGAUCAAAUCAAAUUGUUCCUUUUUCAGAUACAUUGUAUCUAUUUGUAGAUUAUUUUUGAAUCUAUUAUUAACAAAGUUUCACUUCUAAAUGAAUAAUUUUGAAGGGUUUUCAGCAAUGUCCAAUGUGGGAUUUACCUUAGAAAUAAUAAUAAAUUGGUAAAAAAAAAUCCUUUUAGAAUGUAUCUUUAAGGAGUAAGUGUAAAACAUUGACAGCCAAGAACAUCUGCAUUUAAAUUAGACAAUGGGAGUUGAUAAUAAGCUGAUAAACUUUCCAGUUACUCCAGUGAUAUUGCUGUUGUUUAGAGAUAUUAUACAGCUCUUGUUUAGAAUUUACUUUUAAAAGCUAGUUAUGAAUCACAUAAAAAUUUUCUCAUAUUCUAUUUCCAUCUCAUUCUUAACCAAAUGUUAUGACUCACCUUGAUUAUUUAUAUUGUAUAUGUAUUUUUCAUAGUCCUCCCUCCCCAAAUAAAAUUCACCUUUCGAGUAUAUUUAAAAGAAUGGAAUACAGUUCUGAAGGAAAUUAAAAGGUGAUUUUGAUGUAUUUAAGUAGCUGUUCGUGACAGUAAACCUGUAAAUCACAAAAUCACUGUUUUGAAAAAUAAAAAGUGAUUCUUUGAAUGUGUAAGAUUUAGUAUUCUUAAGUGUAGUCCUGUUUCCUUUCACUUUCAUGUGAUUGAACUACUAUAAUAUCAUGAAAAAAUUAUUCUCACCAUCCAGGGUUUUGUUUAAGGUCAUUUGAUUAGUUGAAUAUUUAUUUGGCUUUUGCAGGAACAAAAGCAAUUGGAAGGGAUUAAUGCUGUGGCUUAGUGGGUGAGGGGUGCUGCUGGCAACCCCCGGCAGCCAGUGCAUGUGCCAGUUUGAGUCCUAGCUGCCCUACUUCUGACGUAGCUCUAUGCUGGUGGCCUGGGAAAGGCAGCUGAGGAUGACCUGGUGUUUGGGUCCCUGCUGCCCCCAUCAGGGAUAUGGAUGAGGCUCUUGGCUCCUGGCUUCAGCCUGGCUGAGCCCUGGCCUUUGUGGCCACCUGGGGUGUAGACCAGAGCAUGGAAGCUCAUUCACUGUCUGUCUCUCCUACUUUCUUUCUCCUUCCCUCUGUUCCUCUUUCUGUAACUUUGACUUUCAAAUAGAUAAAUAAAUCUUAAAAAAAAAAAAAAAAGCAGUGAGUGAAACCUUGCUUGAAAAGAGCCUUUCUGGGUAGGCUCUUUGUGCAGCUGGUAAGAGGCACGUUAAGGGGUUGGUGCUGUGUGGCAUAGCAGGUAAAACCACCAUCUGCAGUGCUGGCAUCCCAUGUGGGUGCCAGCUUGAGUCCCGCAGCUCUACUUCUGAUCCAGCUCUCUGCUAGUAGCCUGGGAAGGCAGUAGAAGAUGGCUUAAGCCCUUGGGCCCCUGCACCUGCAUGGGAGACCUGGAAGAAGCUCCUGGAUCCUGGCUUCAGAUCAGUGCAGCUCUGGCUGUUGUGUCCAUCUGGGGAGUGAACCAGCAGGUAGAAGAUCUCUCUCUCUCUCUCUCUCUCUCUCUCUCUCUCUCUCUCUCUCUCUCCUCCCUCCCUCUCUCUCUGUAACUCUGCCUUUCAAAUAAAUAAAUGAAUAUUUUAAAAAAAGGCAUGUUAAUGCACACACAUCCCAUAUCAGAGUACCUGAGUUUGAAUCCUGACUCCACCCCUAAUUCCACCUUAUUCUUGGUGCCUACCCUGGGAGAUAGCAGAUGAUGGCUCAAGUAGUUGAGUCCCUGCCACCCACGAAGGAUACAUGGACUAAGUUUCUGGGUUUCUAGCUUCAUCCUGGCCUAGGGUGCCUGUUGAAUGUAUUUGAGGAGUGAACUAUUGGAUGGGAGAUCUCUCUAUCUAUCUUUGUCACUUUACAUUUAAAAUUUUUAAAAAUGACAGGUAAGCAAAUAAGUUACCAAGUAAAUAAAAGGACUUCUCCAUGCUCUUUAAUUAAUUUCAAUAGAAGCUUUACUUUUUAAAAAUAUUUUUAUUUAUAUGAGAUGAACAAAUUUCAUGUAUUUCUUAUAUACAAAUUUGGAGUAUAGUGGUACUUCCCACCCUACCCUCCAUCCCCCGCCAUGCUCCCACCCUCCCUCCUGCUUCCUGUCUUAUUUUGCAUUUUCAUUUUUACAAUAACACUUUCAGAUUAUUUUAUAAUCGUAAGUUUAAAACCCUCAACUAAGUGAAGAAUUCAACAAAUAAGAAGAAGAAGAAGGAAAAAAAACACUGUUCCUCAACAGUAGAAACAAGGGCUGUAAACAGUAGUCAAAUCUCAGAAUGUCAAUUUUGCUCAUAUACAUUGCAUUUGUUUUGUAUCUUAUUAGUUACCUCUGAUGAGGGAAGGCAUGAUAUUUGCCUUUUUUGGGGACUGGCUUAUUUCACUAAGAAUAAUUGUUUCCAGUUGCAUCCAUUUUGUUGCAAAAGACGGGAUUUCAUUCUUUUUUUAUGGCUGGGUAGUAUUCCAUCAUGUAUAUAUACCACAAUUUCUUUAUCCAGUCAUUAGUUGAUGGAUUUCUGGGUCGAUUCCAACUUAGCUAUUACAAGAAGUCUUUGCCUAUGCCAAUGUCUCUCAGAGUUUCCCCAAUGUUCUCCUCUAGUAAUUUGGUGGUAUCAGGUCAUAGAUUUAGAUCCUUGAUCCAUUGUGAGUUGAUUUUUGUAUAAAGUAUGAGAUAGAGGUCUUGUUUCAUACUUCUUCAUGUGGAGAUGCAGUUUUCCCAGCACCAUUUGUUGAAGAGACUGUCCUUUCUCCAGGGAUAGAUUUUAGCUUGUGUGUCCAAGAUUAGUUGAUUACAGAUACUUGGAUUGAUCUUUGGAGUUUCUGUUCUGUUCCGUUGGUCUACAUGUCUGUUUUUGUGCCAGUACUUGGCUGUUUUGAUUUUAACUGCCCUGAAGUAAUUCUUGAAGUCUAGUAUUGUGAUUCCUCCAGCUUUGUUUUUGUUUAAGAUUGCUUUAGGGUCUCUAGCAAACAGGGGUAAUUUGUUUUCUUUCUUUACAAUUUGUAUCCCUUUUAUUUCUUUUCCUUGCCUAAUAGCUCUGGCUAAAACUUCCAGGACUAUAUCCAAUAGCAGUGGUGAGAGUGGACAUCCUUGUGUGGUUCUGGAUCUUAAUGGAAAUGUUUCCAGCUUUUUUGGGUUCAGUAUGAUGCUGGCUGUGGGUUUGUCAUCUGUUACUUUGGUUGUGUUAAGAAAUGGUUCUUCUGUACCCACUUUGCUUACGGUUUUCAUCAUGAAAGAUGUUGUAUUUUAUCAAAUGCUUUCUCUGCAUUUAUUGAGAUAAUCAUAUGGUUUUUUCUUUAAUUUGUUAAUGUGAUAUAUCACAUUUAGAAGCUUUGCUUUUUACUACUUAAUCUUGGGUACCACAUUUUGUAAACAUUAGGUCAAUUGGUGCAGGUUAAAUUUAUUUUCAUGUAUUUAUCACAUGGACAAGACCAUGUUUCGAUCAGUGGUGGAUGACUGUACAAAAGUUCUUCAAAAGAAUACAUGGAAAGUGAAUAUUAUGAAAAACUUAUGCAUGGAUUUUUUUGUUGCAAAAAUAUUUUGCAUCAAAAUAAACGUAGUCUUUAGUUCCAUUUUUCUACAAAGUAUUUGAAGUAAUUUUGUGUCUAGUGUUUUUUGACUUUUAUUUAUUUUUAUUGGCAUCUCAUAUUAGUAUGAUUUAUUUGUUACAACUAAUGAACACUCAAAUUUCCCUAUUUUUUUAAAUCCAAGCUCCCUCAAUCCCUCCCACCCCUUUUAUCCUCACUAUUCUGUGUUCAAAUGAGUUGUUUGGUUUUAUUUUUGUUUUAGCUCUCACAUGUGAGGGUUAGAGUAUAGUAUUUGUCUUUCUGUGCCUAGCUUAUUUAACUUAAUAUGAUGUCCUCCAAUUUUAUCCAUUUUGCUACAAAUGACAAUGUUUCAUUCUUCUUUAUUACUGAAUUGUAUUCCAUUGUGCAUAUAUACAUCAUAUUUUCUUUAUUUGUUCUUCUGAUGGGCUAUUUCGAAAAGACAGAAAAUAUGAAAUAUUGAUGUGGAUGUGAAGAAAGAACUCUCAUACACUCUUGGUGGAAAUGUAAAUGGGUACAUCCACUAUGGAAAAUAGUGUUUCAUUUCCAUAUUUUGAUUGGAUGUUGAAUGUCAGAUACUCACUCUGUUAUGUUUAGAUUUCCUGGCAUUUGACUGAAUAGUUCAACUUUGGUGAGACAGAGAGAAAUUGUGUUUUUAGAAAAGUAACCAUUAGAGAAUAGAUUACAGGGAUACUUACUCAUAAAGUGAUGUCUGAACCUCUUAUUCCAUUUUAGUCAGUUUUCCCUGUGUCAUCUCAAAGACACUAUUUAAAUUCAUUUAUGUAUUUGAUUAGUACAAUAUUUAUUAAACACCUACUAUAUUCCAAAUAAUUUUCUAGGGAUGACGGAAAUAGCUAUACAAAACAAUUUUCCCAUUGAGUUUGCAUUCUGGUGGGAGAUAUGAUAAUGAUUCUUGAAGAUACUGUAAUUUAUUUGUGAGUGUUGUUUCUGUGUAUUGACAAAAUAUGAAUGAUGAUCCCAGUGUAGUAGAACCUCAUUGGCAUAAUUUGAUGAACUUCAUAAACUGUUUCACAGCAGAGGGUACCUGUUACUCAGUUUGAGCAAAUUCAGACAAUUUGAAUGUCUAACAACCAGUGUAUUUUCAGUGUUGUUAUUUAUAGUGGAUUUAAAGAAUGGCUGAACACCUUAGAUUUCCCAGUAGUUACCAUAAAAUGUAUCACAGGGGAACAAGUUUGGGUGUUAUAUGCUUUUAGGAAAUAAUGCAUGUGAGGAACCAGUACAGGAACAAUAAUUUUGGCAUAAUGUUUAACAAAGGCUACAGGCUUUAGUACUCCGUUAUCUGCACAUUUAAAGGGAGAUAGGAAGCAUCAACUAAGUCAUUAGUUGGUAUUCCCUUGCUGUGAGACUACCUCUACAUUUUUACCAUCCUUCUACAGCACAGAGAUAAAAAUUGAGUGAAUAUUAUCUGUGUGUGUGCUCAUGAAUGAGAUUCUACAAAAGCAUGAAAAAUAUUCUUACCAUUAAGGAGGCAUUGGCAAAAAUUCCUUUAUUUCUUCAAGGCCAUUUGUUUAGCAGCAUAUUGACCCGGCUUUCACAAUACAGUAGUAUCAACAGUAGUUGGAAUCCUGCCUUAGAGGCUUCCCCAGUGUGACCUCACAUGACUCUGUCCCAAUCAGAUGUCACACUGCCAGUCACCAGCUACAUACCUCUAACAGGGCAAGGACUGUGACGUAUAUAUGCAUCUCUUUCACCUUCCACAGCCGCCCUCAAGCAUACAAUAGUGCCUCAUGCAUGGAGCACCCUUAUGUUUUUACGAAUUGACUGGCAAAGAGCUGUAAAGAGCCUUUUCUUCCUUGCCUUCUAUUGUUAACAAUUUUCCUUGAGUGACUCUCCUGAGAAACAGAUUGCCCUGGCAGCCAGCACCUACAUUUUCUCCAGUAGGUAUCCACAAUCUUAUAAGAGAAUUCUGAUGUCUAAGAGGAUAUGAAUAGUUAAUUAUGUUACAAACGUAAGCCUCAUCCUUUCACUGGUCUGCAUGCUCUGCUUGCCAGUUUCCAUCAGCAGUUGGUGGCAUUAAGCAGCAGCUGCCUUCUCUUUAUCUUGCUUUUCACUUGGAGAUUUGGGAGCUAAGCCAGGUCUUGAGACUCUUCCCUUCUGCUCCUUCUUAUGGUCUUAUUUGAAAUCCUUUCAGUGAUUUGGGGUACCAAGAGAAGGAGGGACUUGAAAAACAAUGAUAGUUUCUCCUCACUCCCCAGUACAAGAUCUGUUUUCAGCCUGAUUUUGUAUGUUCUUGUGUUUCAUUAGUUGCUCUUUUGUGAUGAAAUUUGAAAUUGUUUUAGCUUUGUUUUCUAAAAAUAACUCCAAAAACUGUUACAAACAUGGGUAUUAAGUGUAGUCAAUGAAAAAAAAAACAUGCUAAAGAAUUGGAGAAGGGUAUUUGUUCAACCUCCAUUCAUUCAUUCAUUCAUUUAUUCAAUAACUAGUGACUGAACAUCUCCAUUUGUCAGGAUCUCUGGGGCACAAAAUGAUGAACAAGACAUAAUUCUACUUCCUUAGAACAUGCAGUUUAGAUGGGAAAUUGUAAUCUUUCCCUGAGCAACAGAAACCUGAACUCAGAUGUUUAGACGUGUACAAUGCCACAUUUCCAGACAGGAAAGUAUUCUGUCUUCGCUGUGAGAAGUUAUUUUGGAAGACUAAUACAGUAUACAUUGAGGGAAGAGUUAGAAGCAGAGAUCUCUCCAGACACAUUCUAUCUUCCACUUCCAAAAACACCUCCCCCCUUUCAUGGGUUCCUCUGAGUGUUUCCUAAACUUCACUAAAUAAUGAUAAAACAACAGAAAAAUUCAUUAACCAAAGUUCAUCUCUAUGAAAGUAAUACUGCAUUCAGUUCUCAAAGCAAUGAGAUGCUGUAGAUAUUUUACUGAUGAGAAUUCUAGGCACUAAAUGCCCAUGCCAAGGAAGAGCUCAAAGCCAGGUCUAUGUGACUGCAGAACCAUGCGCUUUGAAAGUCUUAACUUUGGAGCCUGCUGCUUAGAGACUCUUCUCUCUGAAGGUCACAUCUCACCUUGGCAGUUACGACCCAGUGGACCCUCUUAUGUCCUCUCUGUUAACUCCCUUCCUUCUUCAGACAAUCCUCAAGGAUUGAAAAAUGCAGUGUUACUUCCUGACAGCAACCCCUAGAUCUCUAGACCUCUCCAAGGCACUCACUCAAAGAUUGACAGCCCAGACUUUGAGCCCCAUGGCUUAAUACCAUAGAACCGGGGAUUUGCAAGAGUCUCUUAUUUUUCUUCAUUCAUUCUCUUCCUUCCUAUGUCUGGUAUGUAAAAUAAACUCUGGUAGUGACUCAGAAAUGUUGAGUCAAGGUUAAAAACGUGAUUCAAAGCCACAUCUGUUCAGCGCUCAACACAGUGAUCAUUAUUCUAGCAUUUGGCCUCUGGAGUGUCCUGUUUCCCAUCAUGAGAGACAUCAGAAGUUGUGCAUUCGAGUCACUGUGUUAGUUUUUUACAAUUUUAUUAUCUUUUCCAUUGCUUUUUUUCUGUUAUAAGUGCAAGCUCACUUAACCUUCUGGUAGUUUUCUUGCUUUUUAAUCUACCAUGGAAUGAAUAAUUGGAUUUUAAAAUGUUUUUUCACACAACAUCUAAAUGAGACAUGACAAGAUUCUCAGAGAAGGAAUUCUCUAUGAAUUAAUUGCAUUAACUUAAGUUUCUGAAUCUACCAAAUAUAUUAUUGUUCCCCACCUUCUCAAAAACUUUUUGAUUGUCUAUGAACUAUAUCAUAUCAUUUGUGUUGCCAAGUCCUUGGAGUAAGUGAUUGGUGGAGAUAUUUGUUUUUCUCUCGUUCCCACAGAUUCUAGGAAAGAUUUAUGAUUUUCUUAAUUUCUUUCAUAUUUAUCCAUUUUCCAACCAAAGGAGUUACUGCUAUUGUGUAAAAUUCUUUUGAUAAGUAAACCAUUAGUAUGAAGUGAUAUGUGAUGUUUGAUGUGAUCUGUAAUUGCUAUAUUCAUAAAAAUCCCAGAAAUGUACAGUGAUAAGGAAUUUUAGAGAUUAGUUUGCUGGCCUUCUUAUUUUCAGAUUGAGAAAAUGCAGACCAUGGAGAUUAAAGGAUUUGUUCAAGGUCUCAGACAGAGUAGACCCAGAACCAGGAGAAAAUCCCAACCUCUGGAUCUUGGUCCAUUAUUUUCCUUCUCUCAACACAUAUUUCUUCUUAAAAAGAGUCAGGAGUAUGUAUUAAAUGGUUAUAGACUUCAUAUGUAAGUUUUACUGUAGAAUAGUUAGUUAGUCUUUUGUAGGUUAGUAUCCUGUGGAGGACACAGCAGCAAAGUAGAAAGUAUAUGACUUCAGAAGCCAGGAAGACAAUGACCCACAAUGAGUGCUGUCAUCUUCUAGCUACAUGAUAUGGGAAGAGCUAUUUAGUCCCUCUGAACUUCAGUGUGCUACUCUAUAAAAUGGAAAUAUAAUACUAAACAAGAAUAGUUUUUGACUUUGACAAAGGAAUUAAUAUGAAAAUAUAGUGCUUAAAACAAUGCAUUACAUAUGGUAAAAAUCCAGUAAAUAAGAUGUACAGUUCUCAGAUAUCUUUCUCUUUAUCAAAAACUGGUAGUUUUUCCUUAAUGUUUAAAAUGGUGACUUUUAUUAUGUUAUUAUUUUCUAUAUAUAAUGAAUCUUAUAAGUUGAAAUAUUUUCAUGUUUUUUUAAAUCUUGCAUGGAUUGGAAAAGAGGGAUGGUAGCUCUAUACGAAGACAUUUGAAGUAAUAGAUACCAUUGCCAACCAUUUCUCAAAGCAUGGUCUUUCACAUGCACAUCAAAUUCAUCUGUGGGGACUGCUUGAAAAGGAAGGUUCCUGGGAUCCAUGACAGACCUAGGAGGUGAAGAUCUCCAGCGACAAAGGAGUCUGUGAAUCUCUAUUGAAUAACAAAUUCAACAUAUGAUUUCUACCAUUAUAAUUCUUGAGACUCACUACUAUAGAUAAGUCAUUCUCAAUGUCAGAUCUCUUGAUCAAAAAUGCGAGUAUUGCUUUAAUCAUGCUGUUUUAUUUCCCUGUUUAAAAAAAAAAAAAAAAACUUCAGGAGCUCUCACUAAUCUUUAAUUUGACAACAGUCAUCUCCUGUCAGGCUGUGUGAACUCUCCUGUCCUUGCUGUUAUGGACAGAAAGUGUCCCCAGGAAGGUGUCCAUGUCUUAGUGCCCAGAAUUUGGGAAUAUGGUACCUCAUAUGACAAAGAGACUUUGCUUACUACUUACUUGAAGUAAGGCUCUUGAAACAGGGAGGCUACCCUGGAUCAUCCAGGUAGACCCAAUGUCAUCACAAGACAGGAGAACCAGAGUUAGUACAUGACAACAGAAGCUAGAGACUGGAGUGAUACCAGGAAGAAGUCCCGAGCCAAAGAAGACACACAACCUCUGUGAGCUGAAAAGGGAAAGAAGAAGAUGGCCCCCUCAGAACCUACAGAAGAAGCCAGCCCAACUGAUGCCAGACUUCAGCUGUGUGAGACCAACCUCCAGAACUUUGAGAUAAUAGGUCUGUGUUAUUUUAAGCUACUAAGUUUAAAGUGUCUUCUUACAGAAGCAACACAAAACGGGUACCUUUGUUUCUCCAAGUACAGACCUCAUCUUUCCAGAGCCUUGGUUCCUGUCUCACUGGUUCCUGCCUGCACCCUAGGCUGGCCUUGCCCCUUCUCACCUCUGACCGUGCUGCUUCCUUUUACUCUCCCUCUGUCCCUUAUUUCUACCAAUUUUCUGAUGUUCUCAACAAGAACUUUCUCCUAUUUGCCUAAAGGCCUCUUUUGACUCUCCCAGCCAAGAAUGAAGGCUAUCAGAAUUUGUGCAAUGUGUUGGGACUCUAUGAUAGAUUCUGUCCAAGACAGGGUAAGUGUAAGACCUCUCGAAUCAGAGUGGCUGAGUUUAAAUCCUGAUUCUGCCACAUUAUCUUGGAUGAGUUUUUUUUUUAACUCUCUUAUAUCUCAUUUUCUUUAUUUUUAUCAAUCUUUUUGGAGUUGGAGGUUUAGAGAUGCCCCAGGUUGAAGCAGAUUGGCACAGUGGCUGAAUAGAUUUAGGACUCCACCUGUGUGGGCAAUCAUAUGAAUUAUGAUUAGGUAUGUCUCUGUCACAAAGAGCUAUUUGUACCAUGUUAUUUGUAAUUUAAUGUGUCUGUAUUUCUGCUUCUCCAUUAAUUCCAUAAUAAUAGCCUGAUAAUAAUUAAGACAACAACAACAAUAUACUAACAAUAAUUAUGGCACAGUGGUAUAGCUAAAGGAGCUUCAGUUUUAGCAGACUUUUCUUUCAGUUCUGGCUUUACAAUUGACUGGUCAUUUAGAAAUAAAAAAUAAGCUUUUUAAUCUUUAAAAUGUGAAUACUAAUGGCAUUUACCUCUUAAAGUUGAUCUCAGAAUUAAAUAACAAAUUUAAAAUCUUAACAGGAUGCCUAUACAUAGUAGAAAUUCAGUACACAAUUAAACCAUUAUUAAUGAUUAUUGUUACUUAAUUUUCUUUUUACCUGUUCUUAUUCUGUUAAAAUAAAUCUUUUUAACCCCAUUACUUUGUGUGUGGCAAUAAUAUGAGAAAAGGGAGGAAGAAUAAUAGAUAUGCAGCUAAUAUUUAAUGUCAUGCUUUGCUUUCACAUAAAAGAUGUGAAUCCCACAGUUUUUUAGAAUUUUCUGUUAUAGCAAAGCUCACACCACAAAACAGUGUGGAAAACACAUAAAGCUGGCUUGCUUCCUUCUCUUUUUUCCCUUCUUCCUCUCUUCCUUCCUUCUCUUUCUUUCAUCUCAGGUAAUUGGGUGAAUAGUUUGGAUUUUUAAGUACUUUGAAUAUAUUGGAUUUUUGGGAAAAUUUUGGCCAAAAAAAUCUAUGACUCAAUACAUUGCCAUUCAUCAUCCCCUUGCCUUUACAACCCUUCAUGCUAUUUUAGUGCAGAUGAGAGCUCUCCUAUCACAGCUAAUUUGAAUUCAUUUUUCAAAUGAGCUUAUGAGUUACUAUGCUAAAAUUAAGGCCUAUUAUAUCUUCUGCACUUCCUUAGUCUGCUAAUAUUGUAAUAUGAUUUUUAAGUAAUUGAGUUUCUUUUGACAUGCUUUCUUAUUUAGAGACUCGGGCUUAUUGGCAAGUCUUUUAUCUCUAAAGAUGUUUAUAUAUUUUAUGUAGAUAUUUCUCCAUGGUUGGUUGUCUAAUUAUUUUAAAAAUACUUGGAAUUAAUUUUUACUUAGCAUAUAAAAUACCUCCAUAUGACCAAGGAAGAGUGAUAAAAUAGCAGUAGAAAAAUUUGUGGUAAUGACUACUUUUGCCAUCAGAAGUGAGAGGAAAAAUCAAGCUAAUUCCUAUUUUUUUUAAAGAAAAGAAUAUGUAUGCUUGAUUGUACUAAUGUAUUUGCCCCAGCAUUUGCCUCUUGGCAUCUAUUAUUUUUCAAGCAUAGAAAUAUUACCUCCUCUUUUUUCUUUUUUUCAAAGGAAGUUAUAAUUUAUAAAUAACUUGGAGGAUUAAACAUCCUGAAAGGUAACUGAGCAUUGCUCCCCUGAACUGUGGGAUAGUCUGUCCUUUGUGUGUUCUUCCUAGAAUACAAAAGGGGUAAGCACAAGGAUUGUAUCCUCUCCCUGGAAAGUUUGUGUAGUAACCCAGUGACUUAGAAAAUUGUCCAUUUUGCUUUGAGGAGACAUUCUCUGGACUCACACGCAUACCACAAGAGGAUUUAACGUGAGAAAUAGAGAAUUAACUUGACAAUGUGUAAAACAUUUGCUCUGUUGGGAAAUUUAUGCCCCAUUGUGUUCCCCCUCGGCCACCAUGCCUGAGAGCCAUGGCUGAGAAGUGAGAGUCAGUGCUGAGUGAAGCCCAUGCUGCUUUAUAGACUUGGUGAUGUUUGUUUUUACUCAUGAGUAAGCAGCAGCUCAUGCUUACACAAAAUGUCUGUCUGUGUUCCCUCACUGUGUGUCUCUGUCAAUUACAAAGAACUAUUUGAAGUCAGGUAGAAAAUACAUUGUUUAACUUAUCUGAGGCUUCAGUGCAAUAAUACAAAUUAUGGGGUCCCUUAUAAUACGGUUGCAUUAGAGAAGACAAACAAUAAAAAUGACUCAGUGUAAUGCUAAUAAGGUAUGGUCCAUCUGCAAUUAAAUUAGCAACAUAUCUUUAAAAAAAACUAUUUCAUAUAAACUCAAGACCAUUCAUCAGUUAUAAUUUUUACCUAUUUUUACCUAAGCAUUCACUUUUUGAAAAUCCCACAUUAAAGAAACAUGGAGUCUUUCCAAAAAGAUUUUUAAGUGCCGUAUCAAAUUACAAUGUAAUUUCUGACAAAAUGACAUUGAAUUAUACUAAAAUAUACAUAAAUUAUAUAUUCCUCAUUUUGGUAAACUCUUAACACACUUACUAAAGGUCAAAUGACAAUCAAAUUUUUUGUGUAUGCUUAAACAAGUUUCCCAAAAAGUGUCUGAUCAUAUUAAUUGCAGAAUUUUUUUGAGAAUGGCUACCUGAUUGAUUUAAAAAUAUUAGUAUUUGUGGGAGUAGUCAUCUAGCCUAUCAGCUAAGAGGUAUUACGAACAAAGUCUGGCUCAUGACUUCAGCUUUGUGCCAACAUAGAUUCUCGGAGGCAAUGAUAAAGACUCCUGUAAUUAGAUUCUGUCUAUCUCAUGAGAGACCUGGAUUACCUUCCUGGUUCCCAGCCCCAGACCACAGCCCAGCUCUGGCCUUUGUGAGCAUUUAAGGAGUGAAGUAGCAAAUGAUAGUGCCUUCUCUGUUAAUCUGUCUCUUCUCUUUCCUUCUCUUCCUCUAUCCCUUUCUUUCUUAAAAAAAUAAAUAAUAUGAAAGAAAAAAGAAGAAAAUUAAUAAAAACAGUAUGUGAUGGGGCAUGACUCUUGAAUUAGUAGGAAAAUAUAACUUUCAUAAGAAUUAUUUUUAAGGUAAGACUCAUAAGAAUUGAGAAUAUAAUGGUAGUUUUCACAGGCCUGGGAAGAGGGUAGAUAUGGAAAGGGAAGAGGCUGAUCAAAAGAUAAUUUUAGUUAGAUGAGAGGAAUAAGCUUUAGUGGUCUAUGGCAGAGAUUGGUGACUACAGUAGAUAACAGUGCACUGCACAUUUCAAAAUUGCUAGAAGGGUAGAUUUUAAAUGUUUUCACCCCAAAAUGGUAAGUAAGUGAAGUGAUGGAUGUGUUAAUUAGUUUGGGUUAAUCAUUCUACAGUGUAAUGCUAUGUCAAAACAACAUACUGUAUCCCAUAAAUAAAUAAAAAUAAUCACUGUAAAUAUUUAUUUAUUUUUAUUUAUUUGACAGGCAGAGUUAUAGACAAUGAGAGAGUGACAGAGAGAAAGGUCCUCCAUCCAAUGGUUCACCUCCCAAAUGGCCGCAAUGGCCGGAUCUAUGCCAAUCCAAAGCCAGGAGCCUGUUGCCUCCUCCUGGUCUCCCAUGCAGGUGCAGGGGCCCAAGCACUUGGGCCAUCCUCCACUGCUUUCCCAGGCCACAGCAGAGAGCUGGACUGGAAGAGGAGCAAACGGGAUUAGAACCCGGCGCCCAUAUGGGAUGCUGGCGCCGCAGGUGGAGGAUUAACCAAGUGAGCCACAGCGCUGGCCCUUACAAUGAUUAUUUAUCAAUUAGAAAUUUAAAGAGAAUUAUUUUAAUCAUUAAAUAUAGCAUAACCUAGUUAUUUUUAUUCUUAAUAGAUCCUAUAUUUUGGAUUAGAUAUUUAAAUUUUACAGUGAAAUACUCUAUAAAAUCACCCAUAUUUUUUUCAGACAUUUUAUUAUAUAACAAAAUGGAUACAUCAUAGUCUUUUCUUUUUUUAAAAGAUUGUUUUCAUUUAAUUGCUUGAAAGGCAGAGUUAUAGAGAAAGAGAGAGAGAGAGAGAGAAAAGGAGAGAGAGGGAGAGAUACAGGUAUCUUCCAUCUCUGGUUCUCUCCCUCAAUGGCUGCAUCAGCCAGAGCUGGGCCAGUCUAAUGCCAGCAGCUCCUUCCAGGUCUCACCUGUGGGUGAUGGUGUCCCAAGCACUUGGGAUAUCUUACACUGCUUUCACAGGCACAUUAAUAGGGAACUGUAUCGGAAGUGUCUCAGUGGGAUUCCAGCAAUGCAGGUGGUGGCUUAACCUGCUACACCACACUGCCAGCCCCAGUCUUUUAGUACAGUUUAAAAUGUCUUGUGGUGCCGAAUGAAUAAAUUCUUUGUGCAUAAAAAUUCUCAUCCCUAUGAUUUAAGAAAAUGUGAAAUUUUGUAAAGAAAAUUUAAUAAUAACAUGAUCCUUUAGUUAUAAGAGAAACCCAGGCACUUACAAGUACAUAUGAAAUCUGUCCUAUUAAUAUUACCAUGUUCUCACAAUAAAUGGGGUAUUUUCACUAAUUUUAAGUGAUCAAGAUAAACAGGGUUCCUUUUAAACUUCUUUGCCAAAGGUGACUGCCAGUGCAGAAGAGACAAAAGGGAAGAUUAGAAAAGGUGUUAAAUGGAGAAUAGAUUAUGGAAUUAUAUUGAAUAAGCACAUAGGAAAUCUAACUGUCUAUAAUGCUAGUUAUUCUAGUUAAAGAAAGGAAAGGAUAAUGAGGGGAAAAUGAAGGGAAAGGAUAUAAAAUGCAAAUACAAAGGCAGAUGAAACACUUCAAUUCCAAAGCAUGUUUAUUAAAGAGGGGCUGUUCAAAUCACUCUUAGUCAUGACAUGUAGGCAAGGGAUUUCAUUUUGAAAUGUAAGUCAGUUGGUUCACUACUAUAAUGAUUCAGUCUUUAAACAAUAAAAUGUUGUCUUGAAAUAGAGCAAGUGUAGCCAUUAAUUUUUUACUGGGGUGAACUGUAUUCCCUUGUAGUACAACGGGAUCUCUCUGUGACCUGCCAUGGUGCAGGAGGGAUGCAGUGUUCUGAGCAGUGACAUCUCCCACAGAGUCACUUUUAGCUCAUUGGCUAGAGAUUUCCACUUUUCAUCCUGAUCAAAAUUUAUGGGGAAAUAAAAAGUACAGAAAAUAUCAAACCCAGCUCUGAGAUAAUGAUUUCCAGCUAAUGGAACAUUUUCAUUUCGUAAUAUCUGAACUUUAUUUUCAAUGUUAAAUAAAGAUGUUUUUAUAUUAAAAUUCAUUUAUGGUAUUUAUUUGUGCAGUGUACCUCCAUCUUAGAGAAAUUUCCUAUUAUUUUCUGAGGGACAGCCUCUUAAUUUCAGAAUUUUUCUGAAUCGUUUUGUACUUUUAUAGAAAUAUCCAAAAAAGCGAUGAUUUACAGCAAACACCUCUGAAAUGUCAAAAUUAAUAUCUAGUAACUUAUUCCUUCAAUAAUCUUUGGAUUCUUAGAUUCUUAGAUUGAGAUGUUAGUUAACUGUUGCUGCAAUAAUACUGCAUAAUGGAUUUCCAAAACCUGAGGGCCGUUCAGGAAGCAUUUGUUUCUUCCUCACAGAUUCAUUGGGAUUGGCUGGGGUUUGGCUGAUCUCAGCUGCCUCUAACUGCAGUUGGCUUUAAGUUGCAAGAUAGGACUAGGUCCACUGAACCUUUCUUUCAGAUUUCUUGACCAAGAGCUUUGUGAACCAUCAUUUUUUUUUAUGAAAAGAAAAAAAAGAGUAAGUAGAUCAAAGCACAAUCCAGCAAGAAACUCUGCUCUUGUACACUUGUCAGAGAAAGUCAGAUGGCAAAGUCUAACAUCAACAAGGAAAGAAAAUAUGCUUUAAUUCUUGAGGGAGAGUCUACAAAUUCACACUGUAGAUGACAUAAAUAUGGGAAAGUGAAGAACUGGGAGCAGUAGUGUCAUCUGCUGCGCCCCACAUUCUAAAUCACAGUUAUUCACAUACAGAAAACACCUCAGUCCUAACAAACUACUUUCCACAUACUUCCUAGAAUCAUCAUUGAUUUAUGGAAUCAUAUUUGAACUCUAGGAUCUUAAGAUUUAUGCCAGUCUAACUCUUGAUUUGGAGACACAUGAAUUUAAAAGAGACCUUACCUAAUCCUACCCUGCCCCCGCACACACUCCUAACCUGUAAUUGUGGGUGUUAGUGCUAUGUGACUCUCAUUGUCCCCUUUAUGUAUAGGAUGUAUAUUAUCAUUAUUCUAUGAAUGCUUUAUUCAAAAGGCAGGAGAAUAGUGAGAGGCCCUGGUCCACAGCUAGUCUAAAAAUCCCACUGGACAAAUGUUCCCAGGUCCCUCUGCCUAAGAAGAAAUGUUCUUUGAUUAGGUAAUGAUCCUGCUCCCUAGGCAUGAGCUGUUGAGGAAGAGAGGUUGUAUCAGUGGUUGCCUUCAUAAAUAGUAUCCCCAGGCAUAUAGAGAUAGCUUCUUUAUCUUCAACAUUGUCAAUGUUAUGUUAACACGCGUUUUUAGAAUUUUGCCAAUUUCCUAAGUGUAAAUGAAAUUGUGUUUCUUUUUAGUGUUACUAUCAUCAUCAUCAUCAUCCAAUAGACAGACACACCAAGAAUCCACUGUUUCACUCCCUAGCUGUCCACAGUGGCCCUGGGCAGAGUUACAACUCAACCUGGUCUUUCAUGUGAAUGAUAGGAAUCCAACUACUUGGGCCAUCACUUGCUGCCUCCCAGGGUCAGCAUUAGUAGGAAGCUGAAAUCAGGAGUGGAGCUGGGACCUGGGCAUCUUAACUGCCAUCAACCUGUAGAGCAGACACCUGCCAUGUAAAUAUUGUAUUAUGAAUGAGGGAUAACUUUUUUCAUGUAUAAGAGCUAUUUACACUUUUUUAAAGAAGGAAAUUAACUUUCUUUCACUGAGCUAGGUCCUAUAGGGUUGUUGCUUUUGUCUUACUGCUUCAGUAGACAUUAGGUAAGUAAAUAUUUUGUAGAAGCUGGAUACAUUCCAAAUAAAUUAGUUCUUUUUAUUUAUUUAUUUAUUUGACAGGCAGAGUGGACGGUGAGAGAGAGAGACAGAGAGAAAGAUCUUCCUUUUGCCGUUGGUUCACCCUCUAAUGGCCGCCGCAGCUGGUGCACUGCGGCCGGCGCACCGCGCUGAUCCGAUGGCAGGAGCCAGGUACUUAUCCUGGUCUCCCAUGAGGUGCAGGGCCCAAGCACUUGGGCCAUCCUCCACUGCACUCCCUGGCCACAGCAGAGAGCUGGCUUUGAAGAGGGGCAACCGGGACAGAAUCCGGCGCCCCAACCGGGACUAGAACCCGGUGUGCAGGCGCCGCAAGGCGGAGGAUUAGCCUAUUGAGCUGCGGCGCAGGCCUCCAAAUAAAUUAUUUCUUGCUAGGUUAAUUGAAUUUAAAUAUUUUCAUAUUAUUGAGUUUGCUGAUAGUUUAAAAAGUGGUUUAUAAUUUUAUUUUUCUUUAAUAUGUUAACGAAUUUAUCAAUUUUUAUUUUAUGGUUUCUAGAUUUUAUGUUAUAGAAAGAUUUCUCCCAACUUCAGGGUUAUAAAAAGAGUUUUGUAUUUUCUUGUAGUAUUUUUAUUAUUUCAUCUUGUUAUAAUUAAGCACUGAUCCUUUCAGAAUUUGUUCUGGUGUAUUUGUGAAAUAGGGAUUAUCUUUUUUUAUAUAUGGCUACCCCAUAUUUCAACAUCAUUUAUUAUAUAAUUGAUCUUUUCCCCACAGUUAUGAAAAGGUACUUUGUCAUAGGCCAAAAUUCUCUUUAUUUUUGUGUUUCUGAACUCUAUGUAUUUUCUUUAAACUUACAUUUCUGUAAUUACUAAGUCUUUAUGGUAUUUUGUUACAUUGUAGAGUUACUCAUUCCUCAUUACUCUUUUUUCCCCCCCAAGUUUUCCCAGCUGCUCUUCUUUAUCUAAAUUUUCAUAUAAAUUGUAAAAUGACCUUAUUUGAUUCUGAGGGAAAGAAAGGUGCUGACUUUCAGAGUGUCAUUGCAUUUACAAAUUAGCUGUGAGAAGAUGAAUGCCUUUAUGGUAAGUUCUCCUAUCCAGGCUCAUGGAAUAUAUUUCUAUUUGUUCAAUUUGUAUUUCAUAUCCAUAAGACACAUUUUAAAAAGUCUUAUUGAUGUGGUUUUUAUGCAUUUCUCCUUAAAUGCCUUUCUUUCUGAUUCUACUUACAGUUUAGCAUAUGUGAUAAGAGGAAAAACUUGAUAGUUUUAACCCUGGCUCUGUCUCUAGAUUCCUGUAGGACUAGAAGAAACAGACAGAAAAUGUUGUAGAAUGUAGAUGAAAGUUUUAAGUGAAAAUGAGGGCACAGGUGGGUGGGGAAGUACACUGAUGGUAACUAGCUUUUGUCAUCCUAUCCAAUAACAGCCACCAGAUUUGUCUGGCACACCGAAUGAGCAAAGCACAAUGUACAUCUUGGAAGGCAGAACAGUUGUCAUUUGGAUGCAAAGAAAUAAGUGGAUCCAAGAAUUUUUUAUCAGUUCGGCUUGGCUGUGUGUAAUAGCUGUCCCAAAUAGCAACCCCUUCAACACAAUAGAGAUUUAUUUUUCUCUCAUGUAAAUGAGUUCUGGGUUUAGGUGCUCCAACAUCGGUAUGGUAUUUCUAUAAACAUCUAUGAUCCAGUCUCCUUAUUUCUUUUUUCCACUACUAUCCUUCAUGCGUGAUUCCAUUCUCAACUUUGCCUCAUGGUUCAGUUGUCUGCCUGAGCUCGUGCUAGCAUGUCCAUUUCAGGGAUGACAAAGAAAGAGGAACAGGGUAAAAAUGUGUGUGCCCUCAAAUUAAGCCUAUCUGCUUCAAAUACCUUUUCAGAAGUCCCAUUCUUUUUCACUCAUCCCGACGUUAAUUGUGCCAGUGGCUUCUCACAGCAAUAUAGAGAUUCUAUUACUAGGAGACAACUUCUUGUCCCUGCUACAGGAAAUGAACACACUUUUUGAAUUUCCCUACAAGGAAUAUUGAAAAAGGAAAAAGAAAAUACUAUUGGGCAAACUUUGAUUAUUUUUCAGCUUUUAGGAUAACUUAAGGCAAUUUGGUAUACAGAAAAGCCUAAACAGGUCAUCAUUGCUUUGGUCUUGUACUUUUUUAGCUCUAAUACGCUUUCAAGAGUAAUUGAACCACAUGUUAUCUUUUUCUUCUUUAGAAUGGGGGAACCUCAGUAAAGGGUAAAACAGUCCUUGAAGAGGACAGUUUUUACAGGGGUCACAAAGAUGGCCAAAAAUAGACCCUGCCUUGAGUAAUACACAACCUAGUACAUGAGGUAAAUAGAGACUUCCAGUGUGGGGUGCUGAGUGAUUUUACAGGAGUGUUGGGUGAGAGGGAAUACAUUCUAGAGAGAUGAGCAGCAUCAGAAGGUGAAACUGAACUGAGUCUUGAAGGAGAAGUUGCAGAAUAAA